rnacentral:lncRNA from 1 species
AAGAACAUGGUUGGGGACAAUAUAUCCCCAUCCUAACCAUGAGAAAUUGAAGAACAAUAAUGUUAUUUUCAUGUAUAUGGACUAUGAUAUAAGACUUACGACGUAUCUGUUCCCUUUUUAUUUUCAUAAUUGAACUAUUUUCUCACCGGAUAAACCUAUCUCUUGUUCCCUCUGGAUGGUGGAAAGCGACAAUGUUAGAUCCAUGGAGCUGUGACAGUGCCGUGGUAUGUAGUGGUGAUGAUAUGCAUGGAUCUGAGCUUUACGGUGCUUUGGGCGCGAUGGUUAGGUUGUUGUUCCAUAUAUAGAUGGUGGUGGUGGUGGUGAGUGAUAAUUCUAGAUCUAGUAGUGAUGCCUGGUGGUUGAGGAUGACGGUGGUGGUUGACCGGAGGACGAUGGGUUAUUGUUGAAGGUCAACUUUGUUUUCUUCUCCUUUGUUCUGGUGACCGACGGCUUCGGGCGGCUAAAAGGAGUGGUGAUUGUGGAGAACGGCUGAGGUUGGUGGUGAUGGCAUUGGUAAUUGACGGGAGACCCAAAAAAAUUUAGGUGGUGAAGACAUAGUUAAUAAAC